rnacentral:rRNA from 1 species
UGGGGGAUAUUGCGCAAUGGGGGCAACCCUGACGCAGCAACGCCGCGUGAAGGAUGAAGGUUUUCGGAUUGUAAACUUCUUUUAUUAAGGACGAAAAUUGACGGUACUUAAUGAAUAAGCUCCGGCUAACUACGUGCCAGCAGCCGCGGUAAUACGUAGGGAGCAAGCGUUGUCCGGAUUUACUGGGUGUAAAGGGUGCGUAGGCGGCUUUGCAAGUCAGAUGUGAAAUCUAUGGGCUCAACCCAUAAACUGCAUUUGAAACUGUAGAGCUUGAGUGAAGUAGAGGCAGGCGGAAUUCCCCGUGUAGCGGUGAAAUGCGUAGAGAUGGGGAGGAACACCAGUGGCGAAGGCGGCCUGCUGGGCUUUAACUGACGCUGAGGCACGAAAGCGUGGGUAGCAAACAGGAUUAGAUACCCUGGUAGUCCACGCUGUAAACGAUGAUUACUAGGUGUGGGGGGUCUGACCCCUUCCGUGCCGGAGUUAACACAAUAAGUAAUCCACCUGGGGAGUACGGCCGCAAGGUUGAAACUCAAAGGAAUUGACGGGGGCCCGCACAAGCAGUGGAGUAUGUGGUUUAAUUCGAAGCAACGCGAAGAACCUUACCAGGUCUUGACAUCCAACUAACGAAGUAGAGAUACAUUAGGUGCCUUUCGGGGAAAGUUGAGACAGGUGGUGCAUGGUUGUCGUCAGCUCGUGUCGUGAGAUGUUGGGUUAAGUCCCGCAACGAGCGCAACCCUUGUUAUUAGUUGCUACGCAAGAGGACUCUGGCCAGACUGCCGUUGACAAAACGGAGGAAGGUGGGGAUGACGUCAAAUCAUCAUGCCCUUUAUGACUUGGGCUACACACGUACUACAAUGGCGUUAAACAAAGAGAAGCAAGACCGCGAGGUGGAGCAAAACUCAGAAACAACGUCCCAGUUCGGACUGCAGGCUGCAACUCGCCUGCACGAAGUCGGAAUUGCUAGUAAUCGUGGAUCAGCAUGCCACGGUGAAUACGUUCCC